rnacentral:rRNA from 1 species
UACAGAGGUGGCAAGCGCUGUUCGGAAUUACUGGGCGUAAAGGGCGCGUAGGCGGCCUUCUAAGUCAGACGUGAAAUCCCCCGGCUUAACCUGGGAACUGCGUCUGAUACUGGAGGGCUUGAGUGCGGGAGAGGGAUGUGGAAUUCCAGGUGUAGCGGUGAAAUGCGUAGAUAUCUGGAGGAACACCGGUGGCGAAGGCGGCAUCCUGGACCGACACUGACGCUGAGGCGCGAAAGCUAGGGUAGCAAACGGG